rnacentral:rRNA from 1 species
UUGGAGGGCAAGUCUGGUGCCAGCAGCCGCGGUAAUUCCAGCUCCAAUAGCGUAUAUUAAAGUUGUUGCAGUUAAAAAGCUCGUAGUUGAAUUUCGGGAUCAAAUUGUCGGUCGUGCCUCGGUACGCACUGGCAUUAUUGGUUCCUACCUUCUGAAGAACCGCGAUGUCAUUAAUUUGGUGUCGUGGGGAAUCAGGACUGUUACUUUGAAAAAAUUAGAGUGUUUAAAGCAGGCUUACGCUUGAAUACAUUAGCAUGGAAUAAUGAAAUAGGACGUUUGAUUCUAUUUUGUUGGUUUCUAGGAUUGACGUAAUGAUUAAUAGGGAUAGUUGGGGGCAUUAGUAUUCAAUUGUCAGAGGUGAAAUUCUUGGAUUUAUUGAAGACUAACUACUGCGAAAGCAUUUGCCAAGGAUGUUUUCAUUAAUCAAGAACGAAAGUUAGGGGAUCGAAGACGAUCAGAUACCGUCGUAGUCUUAACCAUAAACUAUGCCGACUAGGGAUCGGAUGAUGUUAAUUUUUUAAUGACUCAUUCGGCGCCUUACGGGAAAC